ACCACAUGUAAAGCAGCUCAGCUAGUGUGUGCAGAUGCUCCUGGCCUUCAGCACUCUGGGAGAAUAGCACAGGCAGGAAUGUACUGUUCCAGACACCCAAACAGUAGUGUUCCCGCCAAGCUGCAUACUUGAGAUGAGUGACUUCAUACUGAAGCAGCAGCAUGCUCUGUGUAUGCAAAACACACACCCAUGGCAACCAAAGUGACGUCAGGAACAUGAUACGGACUCCUCUCCAUGACCCGCAGCAUUUUAUUUGCCUUAAGAGUCAGGAAUGAGCUCACCGUAAGCACUCAAUUACAUCAGAGCAGCCGCAAAGCACGCAGGAACCAAUCAAAUGACACGGUGUGACCACGGCGCGGCAUGGUCCUGUUCCUCUUAAAAGGCUUCUGAAAUGUUAUGUCUAGAGAUAAAGUUUCCGCUACGUGUGUGUGAGAUGUGGACGAAAUGUUUAGAGACAAGCUCAAGUACAAAGGACGAGUGUUAAGAUAGCGGCUUUUCAGCAGAGGAACAAGACUUCAGGAAGGAAACAGGCACUGACUGUUAAAACUGCUACCAAUUUCAACGGAUACAAAUAUAGUAAUAGGCAGUGAGAGAUGGGAGGACUAACAUCUAAUAUAAUAAGCUUGAGAAUGAAAUUAUUAAGGUUGAGCAAAGCAUUAUAAUCACAAGGUAUCAUCAAAUGGUGCAAUAAGAAUGAUGUGAAGCAAACUAUCACCUCACACACACUUCACACACCUCACAGACAGAUAGGCAGUAACACUAAACUUAUGGUUCCAUCAUUUUGCCCUUUUGUGUCAUUUGUGGACAAUGUCUACUUAGUCCAUCUACUUUAAGUUUCUCCUCCAAGAAAAUAAAGAGAAAAUAAUCCAGUUUAUUCACAUUGAUUACACCAGACUCUGUAUUUCACAUGUACAGUCUCCAUCACUGCUGAUGACAUUAUGUAACCCAUGUGUCACAGAAGCUGGCCGUAAAAAAACAUCAACCCAAAUUUAUGGAGAGUUUCACUCUGUGUAAUCAUGUGACCUAAUCUAUUAGCUGCAGGCAUCUAGUCUGGCCUACAAAGAAUUUAGCCUCACCCUUACUUUUCCAUACCAUGCAUGGUUUUCAUAUAUAUAUAUAUAUAU
ensembl:lncRNA